rnacentral:rRNA from 1 species
UACAGAGGGUGCGAGCGUUAAUCGGAAUUACUGGGCGUAAAGGGUGCGUAGGCGGCUAUAUAAGUGAGAUGUGAAAGCCCCGGGCUUAACCUGGGAAUGGCAUUUGAGACUGUAUAGCUAGAGUCGAGUAGAGGGGAGUGGAAUUUCCGGUGUAGCGGUGAAAUGCGUAGAUAUCGGAAGGAACACCAGUGGCGAAGGCGGCUCCCUGGAUUCAGACUGACGCUCAGGCACGAAAGCGUGGGUAGCAAACGGG